rnacentral:rRNA from 1 species
AUACGUAGGGAGCGAGCGUUGUCCGGAAUUACUGGGCGUAAAGGGCGCGUAGGCGGCGCUUCAAGUCGUCUGUCAAAUGGGAGGGCUUAACCCUUUUUCGCAGACGAAACUGGAGAGCUUGAGAAGCAGAGAGGCAAACAGAAUUCCUGGUGUAGCGGUGAAAUGCGUAGAGAUUAGGAAGAACACCAGUGGCGAAGGCGACUCUCGGGACUGUAACGGACGCUGAGGCUCGAAAGCGGGGGGAGCAAACAGGAUUGGAUACCCGGGUGGUCCACGCCGUAAACGAUGAUGACUAACCGUCGGCGAUAGACCGCCGGUGGCCAAGCGAAAGCGAUAAGUCAUCCACCUGGGGAGUACGACCGCAAGGUUGAAACUCAAAUGAAUUGGCGGGG